rnacentral:rRNA from 1 species
CCCUUAGAUGUUCUGGGCUGCACGCGCGCUACACUGAUGCGCUCAACGAGUUUAUGACCUUGCCCGGCAGGGUUGGGUAAUCUUCUUAAAACGCAUCGUGAUGGGGAUAGAUUAUUGCAAUUAUUAAUCUUCAACGAGGAAUUCCUAGUAAGCGCGAGUCAUCAGCUCGUGCUGAUUACGUCCCUGCCCUUUGUACACACCGCCCGUCGCUCCUACCGAUUGAAUGGUCCGGUGAAGCGUUCGGACCGUGGCCUUUGGACGGUUCGCCGUCUGUUGGCUGCGGGAAGUUCGUUAAACCUUAUCAUUUAGAGGAAGGAGAAGUCGUAACA